CAGACCGCAGUAGAGGAGUUUCUGUUCCCCUACACGGUCUGACAGGAAGCAGUCUUGUGUUCUCUGUGAACACUUCCUGUCAGACCGGGUAGGGGAACAGAAGCUCCUCUACCGCGUUCU